rnacentral:rRNA from 1 species
AACGUUGUUGCAGUUAAAAAGCUCGUAGUUGAAGUGAGGGAGUGUGUGUUCAUGAGAGCUAGUCUCGAGUGUUCACAACCUCCCCCCUCCAAUCGGUGUAGUGGGGUAUUCAGUUAUUUCACUACUCCUUUGGUCGUUUACUGUGAGAAAAUUAGAGUGUUCAAAGCGGGCGUUUGUUUGAAUAGAUUAGCAUGGAAUAAUGAUUGAAGGCUUUCGUGUUCGAUUUGAUUGGUUUGUUCAUGGAAGCAAGGUUAAAAGGAACAGUUGGGGGUAUUCAUAUUCACUAGUUAGAGGUGAAAUUCUCGGAUUUAUGGAAGAUGAA